rnacentral:lncRNA from 1 species
CAAUGAACUUCUUUGUUUCGAAUAGCGCCGUGAGCUUGAAGAAAUUGAGUCAAUGUAGCUGCCUCUUCACGAGAAGGUAUCACCAGUUCUCCCAUGUUCUGAAAGAUACAUGACUUUCAUGCUCAUCUUCUAUUAUCAUGUUAUGCAAGAUGAUACAAGCUGUCAUGAUUUCUCCGAGUGUUUCCAAAUCCCAAUACCUUGUUGGUCCACGUACAAUGGCAAAACGAGCUUGCAGAACUCCAAAGGCUCGUUCAACAUCCUUCCGACAAGCUUCUUGGCAUCGUGCAAAAAGUUUAUUUUUUUCAGUUGUUGGAUUUGGACUUGUCUUCACGAAUGUGGCCCAUCGCGGAUAUAUGCCAUCUGCAAGGUAAUACCCCAUGUUGUAGUUGCGACCAUUGAUGGUAUAAUUCACUUCUGGAGCAUGCCCUUUAGCUAGAUUCGCAAACACAGGUGAACGGUGAAGAA